UACAGAGGGUGCGAGCGUUGUCCGGAAUCACUGGGCGUAAAGGGCGUGUAGGCGGCUGGGUAAGCCGCGUGUGAAAUCCCGGGGCUCAACCCCGGAACGGCACGCGGGACUGUCCGGCUAGAGAAUGGUAGAGGCGAGUGGAAUUCCUGGUGUAGCGGUGGAAUGCGUAGAGAUCAGGAAGAACACCGGUGGCGAAGGCGGCUCGCUGGGCCAUUUCUGACGCUGAGGCGCGAAAGCGUGGGGAG
rnacentral:rRNA from 1 species